rnacentral:lncRNA from 1 species
AAACAAAACCUUUUUUUUCUUUUUUUUCAUUUCCUAAAAAUUCGGCAGAGUUUCAGUACCAUUUGGACAUUGGUUUUUCAAAACAGGUGAUUAACUCUCUUAACCCUCACACCGCUAUUUUCUUUUCUCAACUUUUUCCAAUAUUCAUAAGCCGGUUAGCAUGCAAGUCCAAAGCAAAAAUAUGCAUAAGUAGCAAGUAAGAUGCAUCAGGAUGGUCUUUUUCAUUUUUG